rnacentral:rRNA from 1 species
GACGAACGCUGGCGGCGUGCAUAAUACAUGCAAGUCGUACGCUUCUUUUUCCACCGGAGCUUGCUCCACCGGAAAAAGAAGAGUGGCGAACGGGUGAGUAACACGUGGGUAACCUGCCCAUCAGAAGGGGAUAACACUUGGAAACAGGUGCUAAUACCGUAUAACAAUCAAAACCGCAUGGUUUUGAUUUGAAAGGCGCUUUCGGGUGUCGCUGAUGGAUGGACCCGCGGUGCAUUAGCUAGUUGGUGAGGUAACGGCUCACCAAGGCCACGAUGCAUAGCCGACCUGAGAGGGUGAUCGGCCACAUUGGGACUGAGACACGGCCCAAACUCCUACGGGAGGCAGCAGUAGGGAAUCUUCGGCAAUGGACGAAAGUCUGACCGAGCAACGCCGCGUGAGUGAAGAAGGUUUUCGGAUCGUAAAACUCUGUUGUUAGAGAAGAACAAGGAUGAGAGUAACUGUUCAUCCCUUGACGGUAUCUAACCAGAAAGCCACGGCUAACUACGUGCCAGCAGCCGCGGUAAUACGUAGGUGGCAAGCGUUGUCCGGAUUUAUUGGGCGUAAAGCGAGCGCAGGCGGUUUCUUAAGUCUGAUGUGAAAGCCCCCGGCUCAACCGGGGAGGGUCAUUGGAAACUGGGAGACUUGAGUGCAGAAGAGGAGAGUGGAAUUCCAUGUGUAGCGGUGAAAUGCGUAGAGAUAUGGAGGAACACCAGUGGCGAAGGCGGCUCUCUGGUCUGUAACUGACGCUGAGGCUCGAAAGCGUGGGGAGCAAACAGGAU